ACUGCAGGGUGUGGGGUGGAGCUUCUGAGUCUCAGGGGCUGCUGCCACCAGUUACCACCAGUGAGGCAGCUUGGGACAACCAGAAUUCUCCCUUUCACCAUCUGGAGGCUGGAAGUCCAAGAUCAAGGUGUCACUGGCCUGUGCUCCCUCUGGAUGCCCCAGUGGAGGGUCCUUCCUCCCUCUUCCAGCUUCCGGGAGUCCCCAGACAUCCUCCCUUGGAUCUCUGCCACUGUCUUCACACGGGUAUCUUCUCUUUCUGUGCCCCCUCAAGGCGAUUGGUCAUUGGAUUUAGGAUUCACUCAGUUUUCAUCCUUUAUCCUUUAAUAAACAUUGCCUCCUGAGGGAAGUCCAUUUGAAGAAUUCCCAGCACAGGAGGCUUGAGUGGACUCAGUUGUGCAUGCCUCCCUGGAGAGGGAGUUUCCGUCUGUAAUCACCUGCGGUCCUUCCGGGCAGCGAUCCAGUCGCUAACCCAAGUGGACACAGUCAAUAAUAAACCCGAGGAUGGUAAAGACGCAAAGAAA